GAUCUCUUGAGUGAUGCAGAUUGAUCCACUGCCCAUCCCGACCCGAAGGCCAUCAGCACCUGCAUCAAUGAGAUUCUUGGCUUGAGAUGCUGUAACGACGUUACCUGCGAUGAUCUGGGGAUUCAAGAGAGGAGACUAAGCAGGUCAUCUCAACAAUAACAGAAUCAAGUACCCAAGAGUUUAUCCACAAUAAACUGCAGAGGAUUAUGUGGGCGCCGGUAGACAAUGUCCGCAGCGAGACCCUGUGAUGAAAAAAUGUUGUUGCACAUGAGAAGACACAUGAAUAUGGAU